ACUUGAAGACUCUUCCCCCCUUUUUAGUACGAAGAACGACCCCAUUAGACUGCGCUCACUAGCAAACCAGACUAAUUACACAAGUCUAAGGUUGAAAACUAAAAACAGUUAAUCUAGACCAUUAAUUCUAAUCUGACGGAGGAGAUUAAUUUCGUGUAUUAGACAUACACUCCCUUACUUCUUUCUCCUUCACGCAUCUUCUCUCUCUAAAAUUUCAAGCAAUUCUCUCUCGCUUCAUGUUUUGGAUGGAAAUUCUAUCAUCAAAUUGAAUUUAGAUCUUCCGAGGAUUGAUCGGAUUAUUCGAUGUUCGUUUCGUUCUCAAGGAUUGCCAGCUGCGGCGAUUGAGCCGGUGUCGGAGGGCAUUGUGUUGAUGGUGGAGCAUAGAACAAUCGAGGAGAGAGAAAAGUGGUGGAAGAUGGGAUUGGAGGCCAUCCAUGCCGGCAAGUUGGCUGUCAUCCUUUUGUCCGGUGGUCAGUUUUUUUUUUUUUUUUUGUUUUGUUUUGUUUUGUUUUGUUUUGUAAUUCAAUAUGAUAUUAUUUUCUUGUCAAUUAUGAUUUUGCUGGACUUGAUGAGGUUUUUCUUUUGUACUCUAUAAUUGUUUUUAAAUUUUAUGUGUCAUGUAUUGUGAGUUUGUGGCCCUUGAAUUUAUGUAAAAUUGGGGGAUUAGAGCAAUCUUGAGCUUUUCAUUGUGCCUUUUGCUUGGUCGGUUUGCUGUCACGGAUUCAUGGGGGAAUUCGAGUAGUUUAGCAUCUGUUUCUUGUGAUUGUACUGCCUUGCAUUUAGAUGCAGAGUAAAGAUGAGAAAUAGGGUUACAUGUUUGGAAACUAGCAAGCUGAACUUGGUGAAAUUGUAUAAUUUCUUGGAUUAUAUUUUCUUUAUGUAUAGUACUUUUGAGGCUUUAUAAAGAGGCUUCCAUUGCAUAUAUUGAGGCUUCCAUUGCAAAUAUUAAACAGAUUUCUACAUUUGAAGGAGACAGAAAAUUGAAGUCUUACUGUGUAAGCUGCUUGUUUGUGUAAUUGCCAUUUGCUGUUUUUUGUCAAUUAUAAAAUUCUAUUUUGACAUGAAACUAUGAAUGUAAUUUGAGGGACUUUAUUGAAGUUGCUAAUGGAGAUGCAUCUGAGAACAAGAAAAAGAAGCAGAAGAAGAAAAGAAAGGAAAGACAGAGAAGGAUGAAGAGGUUUCAAAAAUAGAGCAAAAUGCAAAUGCAGAAGCUAAGCAGAUAAGCAAAACUAAUAAAGUAGUCAAGCAAUCUAAGGAGAAGCCUGCCAGAGUUAAAACCUUUUUUAAUACCCUUUAUUUUUGUAUAUAAUGACCUACAUGUAAAUAUGGUCAAAAUUGAAAUAAUUACCCUAUUUUUGUAUAUAGUGACCUAUUUGUAAAUUUGUCAAAUUAAUAUAGUUACCCUAUUUUUUA